rnacentral:rRNA from 1 species
AGCGUACACGGUGGAUGCCCUGGCAGUCAGAGGCGAUGAAGGACGUGCUAAUCUGCGAUAAGCGUCGGUAAGGUGAUAUGAACCGUUAUAACCGGCGAUUUCCGAAUGGGGAAACCCAGUGUGAUUCGUCACACUAUCAUUAACUGAAUCCAUAGGUUAAUGAGGCGAACCGGGGGAACUGAAACAUCUAAGUACCCCGAGGAAAAGAAAUCAACCGAGAUUCCCCCAGUAGCGGCGAGCGAACGGGGAGCAGCCCAGAGCCUGAAUCAGUGUGUGUGUUAGUGGAAGCGUCUGGAAAGGCGUGCGAUACAGGGUGACAGCCCCGUACACAAAAAUGCACAUACUGUGAGCUCGAUGAGUAGGGCGGGACACGUGGUAUCCUGUCUGAAUAUGGGGGGACCAUCCUCCAAGGCUAAAUACUCCUGACUGACCGAUAGUGAACCAGUACCGUGAGGGAAAGGCGAAAAGAACCCCGGCGAGGGGAGUGAAAAAGAACCUGAAACCGUGUACGUACAAGCAGUGGGAGCACAGAGCAAUCUGUGUGACUGCGUACCUUUUGUAUAAUGGGUCAGCGACUUAUAUUCUGUAGCAAGGUUAACCGAAUAGGGGAGCCGAAGGGAAACCGAGUCUUAACUGGGCGUUAAGUUGCAGGGUAUAGACCCGAAACCCGGUGAUCUAGCCAUGGGCAGGUUGAAGGUUGGGUAACACUAACUGGAGGACCGAACCGACUAAUGUUGAAAAAUUAGCGGAUGACUUGUGGCUGGGGGUGAAAGGCCAAUCAAACCGGGAGAUAGCUGGUUCUCCCCGAAAGCUAUUUAGGUAGCGCCUCGUGAAUUCAUCUCCGGGGGUAGAGCACUGUUUCGGCAAGGGGGUCAUCCCGACUUACCAACCCGAUGCAAACUGCGAAUACCGGAGAAUGUUAUCACGGGAGACACACGGCGGGUGCUAACGUCCGUCGUGAAGAGGGAAACAACCCAGACCGCCAGCUAAGGUCCCAAAGUCAUGGUUAAGUGGGAAACGAUGUGGGAAGGCCCAGACAGCCAGGAUGUUGGCUUAGAAGCAGCCAUCAUUUAAAGAAAGCGUAAUAGCUCACUGGUCGAGUCGGCCUGCGCGGAAGAUGUAACGGGGCUAAACCAUGCACCGAAGCUGCGGCAGCGACGCUUAUGCGUUGUUGGGUAGGGGAGCGUUCUGUAAGCCUGCGAAGGUGUGCUGUGAGGCAUGCUGGAGGUAUCAGAAGUGCGAAUGCUGACAUAAGUAACGAUAAAGCGGGUGAAAAGCCCGCUCGCCGGAAGACCAAGGGUUCCUGUCCAACGUUAAUCGGGGCAGGGUGAGUCGACCCCUAAGGCGAGGCCGAAAGGCGUAGUCGAUGGGAAACAGGUUAAUAUUCCUGUACUUGGUGUUACUGCGAAGGGGGGACGGAGAAGGCUAUGUUGGCCGGGCGACGGUUGUCCCGGUUUAAGCGUGUAGGCUGGUUUUCCAGGCAAAUCCGGAAAACUAAGGCUGAGGCGUGAUGACGAGGCACUACGGUGCUGAAGCAACAAAUGCCCUGCUUCCAGGAAAAGCCUCUAAGCAUCAGGUAACAUCAAAUCGUACCCCAAACCGACACAGGUGGUCAGGUAGAGAAUACCAAGGCGCUUGAGAGAACUCGGGUGAAGGAACUAGGCAAAAUGGUGCCGUAACUUCGGGAGAAGGCACGCUGAUAUGUAGGUGAAGUCCCUCGCGGAUGGAGCUGAAAUCAGUCGAAGAUACCAGCUGGCUGCAACUGUUUAUUAAAAACACAGCACUGUGCAAACACGAAAGUGGACGUAUACGGUGUGACGCCUGCCCGGUGCCGGAAGGUUAAUUGAUGGGGUUAGCGCAAGCGAAGCUCUUGAUCGAAGCCCCGGUAAACGGCGGCCGUAACUAUAACGGUCCUAAGGUAGCGAAAUUCCUUGUCGGGUAAGUUCCGACCUGCACGAAUGGCGUAAUGAUGGCCAGGCUGUCUCCACCCGAGACUCAGUGAAAUUGAACUCGCUGUGAAGAUGCAGUGUACCCGCGGCAAGACGGAAAGACCCCGUGAACCUUUACUAUAGCUUGACACUGAACAUUGAGCCUUGAUGUGUAGGAUAGGUGGGAGGCUUUGAAGUGUGGACGCCAGUCUGCAUGGAGCCGACCUUGAAAUACCACCCUUUAAUGUUUGAUGUUCUAACGUUGACCCGUAAUCCGGGUUGCGGACAGUGUCUGGUGGGUAGUUUGACUGGGGCGGUCUCCUCCUAAAGAGUAACGGAGGAGCACGAAGGUUGGCUAAUCCUGGUCGGACAUCAGGAGGUUAGUGCAAUGGCAUAAGCCAGCUUGACUGCGAGCGUGACGGCGCGAGCAGGUGCGAAAGCAGGUCAUAGUGAUCCGGUGGUUCUGAAUGGAAGGGCCAUCGCUCAACGGAUAAAAGGUACUCCGGGGAUAACAGGCUGAUACCGCCCAAGAGUUCAUAUCGACGGCGGUGUUUGGCACCUCGAUGUCGGCUCAUCACAUCCUGGGGCUGAAGUAGGUCCCAAGGGUAUGGCUGUUCGCCAUUUAAAGUGGUACGCGAGCUGGGUUUAGAACGUCGUGAGACAGUUCGGUCCCUAUCUGCCGUGGGCGCUGGAGAAUUGAGGGGGGCUGCUCCUAGUACGAGAGGACCGGAGUGGACGCAUCACUGGUGUUCGGGUUGUCAUGCCAAUGGCACUGCCCGGUAGCUAAAUGCGGAAGAGAUAAGUGCUGAAAGCAUCUAAGCACGAAACUUGCCCCGAGAUGAGUUCUCCCUGACUCCUUGA